GGAACAUGUGUGUCAGGUGACUCAAUGUUUUUGCUGGUCUGUGCAUGUCUGCAAAUGACCACAAACAUGCUACAAGUAUUGAUUUGGGGGUUACAAAUAAAUUUUAGCAAGUAUACAAAUUCCAGUGUACACCAGAAUUCAACAAGGCGAUGAUGAAGAACUUCGGAGGCACAGAAACUCGAGAUAGCAGCAUAGAGAGGGAAGUGAAGCCCCUGGCCUAAAUAGGCUUUGGAGUCAAGAGGCACUCCCCAUUGUGGGAAAAAGGCUUUACCCCAUAAAGACAAAGAAACUGGCUGAG
rnacentral:lncRNA from 10 species